GCGGGGAAUGUUGGAAAGAAUGGACUUGGGAACUGGGAGGAGAAAAGAAUGGAUGCAACUUUAGAUAAUGAGCUGCCGUACAGGCAAGAAAUUUAGGUAAAACUGCUGAACCUGUGUGGGGUUUAGGAGAUCCAAGUCAAGAAAAAUAAACUUGAGUGUCUUCAGGACACAGGAGACUACCCUUUGUGGCCUCAGUUGCCCUCAGUUCUUGUUAAGUUGUCCAAUUUGGUUUUAAUGAGAAUGUGAACAUUUAGAGAAGGCAACAAUUUCAACUUAAUCCUACUUCCUAUUUAUAAAAUUUAGAAGCAGAAAUAUGAAGGUUUUUGUCUUUCAAAUGACUUCUCAUGUGUUUGAGAUCAUUCUUGUUAUCUGAACUAACACAAAACUCCCAUGUAUUUUCUCCUCAUGUCUGUUACCCUAGGCCCUCAUCUAUGUGUUUUCUUUUUGUUGCCAGUCGUAAGAACCUCGUUUUAGAGGCAAGCCCGAUAAGAAGCAAUUAAAACCACAAGUCUUAUCACACUGUGCCACACUUCAUAUUUUUGCUUCCAUUGGUCACCCUCCAACAUAUACAUCACCUCCUCCUUCCCCCGCCACUAUCUCAUAUGCAUCUUGCUGUCUGAGCUCUCAAUCAGUAGAUGCCUGCUGAACCAGGGAACGAGAAGUUAGGAGGAAACAAGUAGCACAAAUCUUAGUAUAGCAGAUUAUGUGUUACACUGUAUGCCCUGUGUGGUUUUGAACACUGACUGAACAAGCUUCCGUGUGCUGUGUCCUUGCUCUACACAUGCAUCGUUAUUAUAAGAGGGCAGGUCUCACCUGCUUACAAGAUAAGUGCAAUUCCCACUCAUUCCGUCUCCCUCCGUGCCAGUCACACGUAGGCAUACAAAAUUUGUCUUAUCUACUUCCAUUCCUUCAAGUUACACAGCCUAUCACAACAUGCUGUAGUAAUAAACAUGUGGAAGCUAUUUAAGUUCAGCUAAUUUAAGGACAAAUUACAAGAAAAAGAUUUGCCAAAGAGGUCUCUGUAGUGAGCAUCUCUCCUAAAAUAAUUGCUUGGCUUUAAAACAUGACAUUUGUAUACAUUUCAAGAAUAGAGGCAUCUGGAAAGGAGAGGCCUAACAGAGGCUGUGGCGUUCUGGGGAGACAUGUUUCUCCUCUCGCUCCUCAGCGGGAUCUAGGUGGGUUUCCAAUUAGGACAAAGACCGAAAACCAGCAAUCAGAAGCAACUUUAUCCAAGAUUUUUGACCAUAGUUACUGCUCAUAAACUCAAGGGUUCUACUUGAACUUUUUUUUUUUUUGGAUGUUGAACAGAAAACACUUAAAAGAGUUUCACUUCUAGGUUAUUGCUUUUGUCAUCUGAGUCCAUUUCCAGCUCAUACUUUAAGCUUUUGCUGGCCUCUGGAAAAAAAAAAACUCAUUUUCCGUUUUUGCAGUUAAGAGUAAAAUUUCAUUUACUUACUAUAACAACUCCGUUCUAAUUGAUACUAACACAUUUCACGUAUAUACAUUUUGCAGUAUGUCUUGGGGGGUUUGGGGAGGGGGGUGUGAUGGCAAUGCUCAGGUUGUGGUUAAACCACAACGUAGAGAAGCCACCUACCUAGUAAGUGUCCUUUUUUGGAUACUUUUUGAUGGUGCAGACAGUUCCUUCCACAGCAUACAUCAUGUUUUCCUAAAUGUAAAUGUUACAUGCAUCUUCAGGAUUUCCUAGCAAUUUUAGGCUUUAUGUAUUUACAGCAUAAAAAAAGAACAGAAAAACCCAGAUCUGUUGGUCAAAUAAAGUUUUCCUCUCAAGCAUCGUACUACACCUGUGCUGCAAAUUUGAUGCAAAUUUCUCCAUAGGUUCAAUAUAGGAAAGCCUAGGAGACCAAGAAUUGCACAGGAAACCAAGAGAUGUCAGCUGUCUGGGAGUUCCGCUAUGGACUCACCAGGUACAAGAGACAUUGUUCACAAGAGCGGAGGGAGUGGACACUCUUGCACUGCCAGUAGCACGUACAUCAGCACAGGUCAAGAGGGCUGGGAGUAUACAGUGAACUCUGUAAAAAGAAAGCCUACUCCCGAGAACCAUUUCUAAGGAAAAAUCCUAUACAUGGAAAAGUAGUCUGUGCGCACAGACACAAAACCUGCUCCCCCCCGAAAAAAUAUGGAGCCCAAACCCCCAAAAUCGCCAGUGGAGACCAAUUAACUCAUAAUGUGGAUGUUUACCUAACAGAAUGUUACAAUUUGAUAAAAUGAGAAAUAAAAUAAGAGCGUAAGGUACAGUAAAUGAAAAACAACGGUUUACAACACUUUAAAAACAGAAAACCCAUGCAAAUAAAAAAGAUGAGGAAUUAUA